rnacentral:rRNA from 1 species
GUUAAGCGACUAAGCGUACACGGUGGAUGCCCUGGCAGUCAGAGGCGAUGAAGGACGUGCUAAUCUGCGAUAAGCGUCGGUAAGGUGAUAUGAACCGUUAUAACCGGCGAUUUCCGAAUGGGGAAACCCAGUGUGAUUCGUCACACUAUCAUUAACUGAAUCCAUAGGUUAAUGAGGCGAACCGGGGGAACUGAAACAUCUAAGUACCCCGAGGAAAAGAAAUCAACCGAGAUUCCCCCAGUAGCGGCGAGCGAACGGGGAGCAGCCCAGAGCCUGAAUCAGUGUGUGUGUUAGUGGAAGCGUCUGGAAAGGCGCGCGAUACAGGGUGACAGCCCCGUACACAAAAAUGCACAUGCUGUGAGCUCGAUGAGUAGGGCGGGACACGUGGUAUCCUGUCUGAAUAUGGGGGGACCAUCCUCCAAGGCUAAAUACUCCUGACUGACCGAUAGUGAACCAGUACCGUGAGGGAAAGGCGAAAAGAACCCCGGCGAGGGGAGUGAAAAAGAACCUGAAACCGUGUACGUACAAGCAGUGGGAGCACGCUUAGGCGUGUGACUGCGUACCUUUUGUAUAAUGGGUCAGCGACUUAUAUUCUGUAGCAAGGUUAACCGAAUAGGGGAGCCGAAGGGAAACCGAGUCUUAACUGGGCGUUAAGUUGCAGGGUAUAGACCCGAAACCCGGUGAUCUAGCCAUGGGCAGGUUGAAGGUUGGGUAACACUAACUGGAGGACCGAACCGACUAAUGUUGAAAAAUUAGCGGAUGACUUGUGGCUGGGGGUGAAAGGCCAAUCAAACCGGGAGAUAGCUGGUUCUCCCCGAAAGCUAUUUAGGUAGCGCCUCGUGAAUUCAUCUCCGGGGGUAGAGCACUGUUUCGGCAAGGGGGUCAUCCCGACUUACCAACCCGAUGCAAACUGCGAAUACCGGAGAAUGUUAUCACGGGAGACACACGGCGGGUGCUAACGUCCGUCGUGAAGAGGGAAACAACCCAGACCGCCAGCUAAGGUCCCAAAGUCAUGGUUAAGUGGGAAACGAUGUGGGAAGGCCCAGACAGCCAGGAUGUUGGCUUAGAAGCAGCCAUCAUUUAAAGAAAGCGUAAUAGCUCACUGGUCGAGUCGGCCUGCGCGGAAGAUGUAACGGGGCUAAACCAUGCACCGAAGCUGCGGCAGCGACGCUGAUGCGUUGUUGGGUAGGGGAGCGUUCUGUAAGCCUGCGAAGGUGUGCUGUGAGGCAUGCUGGAGGUAUCAGAAGUGCGAAUGCUGACAUAAGUAACGAUAAAGCGGGUGAAAAGCCCGCUCGCCGGAAGACCAAGGGUUCCUGUCCAACGUUAAUCGGGGCAGGGUGAGUCGACCCCUAAGGCGAGGCCGAAAGGCGUAGUCGAUGGGAAACAGGUUAAUAUUCCUGUACUUGGUGUUACUGCGAAGGGGGGACGGAGAAGGCUAUGUUGGCCGGGCGACGGUUGUCCCGGUUUAAGCGUGUAGGCUGGUUUUCCAGGCAAAUCCGGAAAAUCAAGGCUGAGGCGUGAUGACGAGGCACUACGGUGCUGAAGCAACAAAUGCCCUGCUUCCAGGAAAAGCCUCUAAGCAUCAGGUAACAUCAAAUCGUACCCCAAACCGACACAGGUGGUCAGGUAGAGAAUACCAAGGCGCUUGAGAGAACUCGGGUGAAGGAACUAGGCAAAAUGGUGCCGUAACUUCGGGAGAAGGCACGCUGAUAUGUAGGUGAAGUCCCUCGCGGAUGGAGCUGAAAUCAGUCGAAGAUACCAGCUGGCUGCAACUGUUUAUUAAAAACACAGCACUGUGCAAACACGAAAGUGGACGUAUACGGUGUGACGCCUGCCCGGUGCCGGAAGGUUAAUUGAUGGGGUCAGCGCAAGCGAAGCUCUUGAUCGAAGCCCCGGUAAACGGCGGCCGUAACUAUAACGGUCCUAAGGUAGCGAAAUUCCUUGUCGGGUAAGUUCCGACCUGCACGAAUGGCGUAAUGAUGGCCAGGCUGUCUCCACCCGAGACUCAGUGAAAUUGAACUCGCUGUGAAGAUGCAGUGUACCCGCGGCAAGACGGAAAGACCCCGUGAACCUUUACUAUAGCUUGACACUGAACAUUGAGCCUUGAUGUGUAGGAUAGGUGGGAGGCUUUGAAGUGUGGACGCCAGUCUGCAUGGAGCCGACCUUGAAAUACCACCCUUUAAUGUUUGAUGUUCUAACGUUGACCCGUAAUCCGGGUUGCGGACAGUGUCUGGUGGGUAGUUUGACUGGGGCGGUCUCCUCCUAAAGAGUAACGGAGGAGCACGAAGGUUGGCUAAUCCUGGUCGGACAUCAGGAGGUUAGUGCAAUGGCAUAAGCCAGCUUGACUGCGAGCGUGACGGCGCGAGCAGGUGCGAAAGCAGGUCAUAGUGAUCCGGUGGUUCUGAAUGGAAGGGCCAUCGCUCAACGGAUAAAAGGUACUCCGGGGAUAACAGGCUGAUACCGCCCAAGAGUUCAUAUCGACGGCGGUGUUUGGCACCUCGAUGUCGGCUCAUCACAUCCUGGGGCUGAAGUAGGUCCCAAGGGUAUGGCUGUUCGCCAUUUAAAGUGGUACGCGAGCUGGGUUUAGAACGUCGUGAGACAGUUCGGUCCCUA